AACUAUAACGGUCCUAAGGUAGCGAAAUUCCUUGUCAGGUAAGUUCUGACCCGCACGAAUGGUGUAACGAUCUGGGCACUGUCUCAACAACCCGCCCGGCGAAAUUGUAGUACCGGUGAAGAUGCCGGUUACCCGCGACUAGACGGAAAGACCCCAUGGAGCUUUACUGCAGCUUAAUGUUGAAUUUCGGUAUUUCAUGUACAGGAUAGGUGGGAGACUGGGAACUACAGGCGUCAGCUUGUAGGGAGUCACUGUUGGGAUACCACUCUUGAAGUGCUGGAAUUCUAACCUGCGGCCUUGAAUCAGGUCGGGGGACAUCGUUAGGCGGGCAGUUUGACUGGGGCGGUCGCCUCCAAAAGAGUAACGGAGGCGCUCAAAGGUCAGCUCAGCAUGGAUGGAAACCAUGCAAGUGAGUGCAAACGCAAAAGCUGGCCUAACUGCGAGACUGACGGGUCGAGCAGUAACGAAAGUUGGAGUUAGUGAUCCGGUGGUAUGUGAGUGGAAAUGCCAUCGCUCAACGGAUAAAAGUUACCCUGGGGAUAACAGGCUGAUCUCCCCCAAGAGUCCACAUCGACGGGGAGGUUUGGCACCUCGAUGUCGGCUCAUCGCAUCCUGGGGCUGUAUUCGGUCCCAAGGGUUUGGCUGUUCGCCAAUUAAAGCGGUACGCGAGCUGGGUUCAGAACGUCGUGAGACAGUUCGGUCCCUAUCUGUCGUGGGCGAAGGAUAUUUGAAAGGAGCUGUCCCUAGUACGAGAGGACCGGGAUGGACGCACCUCUGGUGCACCAGUUGUCACGCCAGUGGCACAGCUGGGCAGCUAAGUGCGGAUCGGAUAAACGCUGAAAGCAUCUAAGCGUGAAGCCGUCCUUAAGAUAAGAUAUCCCAUGCGUAAGCAGUAAGACCCCUUGUAGACUACGAGGUUGAUAGGUUCAAGGUGUAAGCACGGUAACGUGUUCAGCCAGCGAAUACUAAUCGGUCGAGGGCUUAAACC
rnacentral:rRNA from 1 species